AAACAGGGUUUUACAAGCUCUCCUCCACUGGCCCGUUUACUAAAUAGAUCAAUAUUUGGUUUGUAGGCAAAGAGAUUAGGAGGUGGAAGUGUCUUUUGAAAAAGUCUGUUGGCUUCCCAGGGCCUGCCAGCACACCUGAGAAUGUGGGAAAGAAAACGCAGGCUCACGGAGAAAAAAAAGACCCCUUCAAGACGUUCACCUGCUAGAGAUUUCUGAAGGAGCACCUUGUCUUUAGGAAGGCACCCUCUUCAGGGGACAUUUUAGGCUCUUAAUUCUAACUCCCAGAGAAUUCUACUUUCUUCUUCCUCUAUCUCCCCACCUCUCUUUUUUCCUGCCCGAUCACAUGCUCUUUAAUCUUUCUAAAUGGAUAUUAUAGCCUCAGGGACUCCAAGAAGAUUCAUGGAUAAACAGGAACUAAGCCCCUGAAAUGUCGGUCUCCUUCCUACCAUCUUCUCCACCCAAAAGCCCUGGUUAGAAACUCCAUCAAGAGAGCAGCCUCUGAGGGUUCUUUGUCCAACUCAAGGUCUGUGUGACACUCUGGGAAAGGGUAAUCUUGACCUUGUUUUUUAUGUGUAAGGAAAGUAAGGCUAAAAGGCAGGAGCCCUGUCUGAAGUUUCAGGAGCCAUACAUUCUAAACCUCUAGGUUGACUGGCUCUAGGACCUUAGUCCUAGCAAUAGUCAAUAAGCCCUUUGUGGAUUUGUUCUUACAAGGAAUGGGCUGCUGGGUCUAAAGGUUUCCAAAAAGGAGUGAAGCAAUGUCUGAUUGAGCAGAAGUGGCUGAUGAACAUGGAAAGAGAAACAUCAAAGUGAUGCAGUGCUCCAGGUUGAUGACCUAGAUAGAGGAGGCCAGGGACAUUUGCACGGCAUCUGAUGCAUCCUUUGUUGUUGCCAUGCAAAAACACGUCACCGGCUGAUUAACUCAUCUCAUAGGAUAAUCAAGUGUCUCUGUGAAAAAGAAAAGUCUGCAUUUGGCCUCAUUCUGGGAGACAUGAUGAGACUUCUCUCAACAAAGUGUUACAAAAGGCCUGCACAUGUGAACGUGCCCCAUGGAGACCCUCCGCCUGAAGUGGUAGGGUUGAAGUGCCAUGGCGGACUGUCAACAAGGUCGGUCUCAGACACUCUUUAGAAACUCCAAUAUUCUCUUCGUGCAAGGAUGAAUGCCAGAAUCCAGUCAUCACUCUGCCAUCCCAGGAGCAUGCACCUUCCAACACUAAAGACAGCUAUCCAGUCGGGAUGAGCCUUCAAGGCCAUUACAAGAUCGAUUUCUUCAUGUUCUACUCAAGUAUGUAGUAUCUUCAGCUCUAGGGUCUUAUCACUCAGUUCUGGAGAAUGGCCAAGAGUAGUGACAAUAGUCUGUAAUGUUUGAGUAAUCUAUGUCUACCCCACUGACAAAUAACUCCAAAGGAGGUUGAAGUCCCACUGAUGUCCCAUUAUGGGUAAAUACAUUUAAACUCUCUCUCUCUCUCUCUCUCUCUCUCUCUCUCUCUCUCUCUCUCUCUCCCUCCCCUCUCUCUGCAUAUAAUUUACUACACUUCUACAAUAGAAGGUUUCUAUAUAACAUUUUUGAAAGUUCUUUAAUGCCGUUUGUUACUCCAUGUGUUCUCUGUCCAGUCCUAUUUCCCAUACCAUUUAACACCCCCAAUGCAUUAUUCCCCUUUGUGCCUUAAUACUGUUAAGGAAUAGAACUACUCUGAAUCUCAGUUUGUAAAAGAAACAUGUAUUUGUAUGUAUGGGAUUUAAUUUGCUUGGUGGAUGUUAUUGAUCAGUCAACAGUGUUGCCAUGUGUACAAAUGGGACCAGUUCUUAGAUGUCUGGCUCACUGCUAGACAGAGAAAUCAGUAAUGUUUUGUCCACGUUGGACAACAAAUAAAUAUAUGGUGUUCCAAUGCUAUUGUAAGAUCAGCCACAGCUAACACAUAAUGAAUUGCCAUGGUUGUGUUCUGAUGAGUAUGAAAGACCGAAAUUUGAAUUUUGAGCCAUCUUCAUAGGCCCUGAAAUAAUGAUCUUUUGAUUAUUUUUCUCUUAGUGCUGGAUGUUGAACUUAGGGCCUAUUCCUGCUAGCAAGUGCUAGGCCACUGGGCUAUGUCCCCAGUCCUUCAUUUAAGUAUUUUAAGCAGGAGAAGGACAUGGAGAAGUCUCAUAGGAUUGAUAGAAAAGUAAGCUCUCCAGACCAGCCAGCUAGAUAGGUAUAACCCUCUAUAGGAGAAGCUUCAUAGUAAAGCAGAUGGAGGCUAUUUCAGAGAUCCACAACUGCUCAAAAUGUUGACAAUACAUGACUAAGUGACCACGGAAUGCCCAGUCCCAAUCAAUUCUAUAAUGCAGACCCAACAGCAAAGGCUCAAAGAACAACAGAGGUGAAAAAAAGGGAUGGAAAGACAUGAGGACCAGGACUCCUAUGAGAGUGUCUUCUAGGCAUGACAUGAAUGCUGUACCCAUGAGAUGCCAGCCACACAGGGCCUAGCAAGACCUGCAUGAUGACAACACCAGUUGACAGGU